AUGGAAACACCAAUGCCAAUGGAAACCUGGAAGAGCUCCCCCCUGCCCAGCCCACAGCCCCACUCCCCGCUGAGCCUGCCCCAUCAUCAGAUGCAAAUGAUAAUGAGUUACCUUCCCCCGAACCAGAGGAGCUCAUCUGUCCCCAAACCACCCACCAAACUGCCGAGCCGGCAGAGGACAAUAACAACAACGUGGCCACGGUCCCCACCACGGAGCAGGACGGUGGGCUCUCAGCCCCUGCCAGGAGGCCCUCACUGAGGAGGCCACAAGCCCAAGGUCACGCCCCACUGUGGGCAGCCAUGGCCACCCGGGCAACUCUUUAGAAAAACCAGCCAGGCCUCCCAUUACCAAGCCACACAAGAGCUCAGACGUCUUAUCUAACGCGAGAGCCGCCUCAGAGCUCCACCAAGGACAGACGGGCUGUGCUGGCACCAACAAGCAGCUGACAGGGCUCGGCCCCUCAGUGGGAAAGCUGCUCCCACACGCAUGGCACCGUUCCAGCCCAACCCUGGGCCAGCGAACACUGCUGGGGCUGAUUCCACAACGAGGCAGGCAAGGCCUGUGGGGUCACCAGGGCCGAGCACCUUCUGGAACACAGGCCCCUGGGUCUGAGCCAGGGUGGGGACCGCGCGGCCGCCCAAUCCCCCAGCGCCUCUGACAUGGCUGCACAGCCUCCUUGUGGUCUGGGGGCCCAGCCACGGAUCCUCCACCACCCCACCCUGAUCCUCUCCCUCACAGGCACGGGGACUCUUCCCUGCCCUGCACCCCUUCUCUG
rnacentral:lncRNA from 1 species